rnacentral:tRNA from 1 species
UCCCUUGUAACUCAGUUAGUAAAGGAUCUGCCUGUAAUGCAGGAGACACAGGUUUGAUUCCUGUGUUGGGAA